AUUGAACGCUGGCGGCGUGCCUAACACAUGCAAGUCGAGCGGUAACAGGUGUAGCAAUACAUGCUGACGAGCGGCGGACGGGUGAGUAACGCUUGGGAAUCUGCCUGUUAGUGGGGGACAACCCGGGGAAACUCGGGCUAAUACCGCAUACGCACUACGGUGGAAAGCCGGGGACCGCAAGGCCUGGCGCUAACAGAUGAGCCCAAGUCGGAUUAGCUAGUUGGUAGGGUAACGGCCUACCAAGGCGACGAUCCGUAACUGGUCUGAGAGGACGACCAGUCACACCGGAACUGAGACACGGUCCGGACUCCUACGGGAGGCAGCAGUGGGGAAUAUUGGACAAUGGGCGAAAGCCUGAUCCAGCGACGCCGCGUGGGUGAAGAAGGCCUGCGGGUUGUAAAGCCCUUUCGGUGGGGAAGAAAAGCCUCGAGUUAAUACCUCGGGGUCUUGACGUAACCCAUAGAAGAAGCACCGGCUAACUCUGUGCCAGCCGCCGCCGUAAC
rnacentral:rRNA from 1 species